rnacentral:rRNA from 1 species
AUUAAAGUAACAAAGGGCACACAAGGGAUGCCUAGGUAGAAAGAGCCGAAGAAGGACGUGGUAAGCUGCGAUAAGCUUGGCGAAGUUGCAAACGAACGUGGAUGCCAAGAUUUCCGAAUGGAGCAAUCUGUAAAGAGUCAUGUCUUUACACGAAAGAGGGAACCGGGUGAACUGAAACAUCUAAGUAAUCCGAGGAAAAGAAAGUAACAACGAUACCCUAAGUAGCGGCGAGCGAACGGGGUAGAGCCUAAACCGUAUUCAUGUCAAGGAUGCAGCCGUUGUGGAUACGGGGUAGCGGGAAAGAGAGAGAAAGAACUGCAAGCUAUUUCGCAGACGUAAGCAAAGGAACAAGAAAGAUCUGGAAAGGUCUACCGUAGAAGGUGAAAGUCCUGUAUUGGUAGUUUUCUUGCGCUGUAUCUCUUCUCCCAAGUAAUGUGGAACACGAGGAAUUCUGCAUGAAUCUGCGAGGACCAAAUCUCGUAAGGCUAAAUACUCUUUCUAACCGAUAGCGCAUAGUACCGUGAGGGAAAGGUGAAAAGAACCCCGGGAGGGGAGUGAAAGAGAACCUGAAAUUGUGUGCUUACAAGCGGUCAGAGCCACUUCGGUGGUGAUGGCGUGCCUUUUGGAGAAUGAUCCUGCGAGUUACGUUUCAUGGCGAGGUUAAGAAGAACGGAGCCGAAGGGAAACCGAGUCUGAAUAGGGCGCAAGAGUCGUGGAGCGUAGACGCGAAACCCGGUGAUCUAAGCCUGUCCAGGAUGAAGCUGUGGUAAGACACAGUGGAGGUCCUAACCCACCGCCGUUGAAAAGUUGGGGGAUGAGGUAGGUUUAGGGGUGAAAAGCCAAUCGAACCGGGAGAUAGCUCGUUCUCUCCGAAAUGCAUCUAGGUGCAGCCUUGCGUGUUUAAUGAUGGGGGUAGAGCACUGACUGAACUAGGGGGCAUAUAGCUUACUGAAUUCAAUCAAACUCCGAAUACCAUUAUUCAAGAGCGCAGGAGUGAGACCAUGGGAGUUAACUUCCAUCGUCGAAAGGGAAACAACCCAGACCACCGGCUAAGGUCCCAAAUCAUAUCUAAGUGGGAAAGGAGGUGGAGAUUCUUAAACAACUAGGAGGUUGGCUUAGAAGCAGCCAUUCCUUGAAAGAGUGCGUAAUAGCUCACUAGUCGAGAGUCUCUGCGCCGACAAUGUAACGGGGCUAAGAUAUGAACCGAAGCUGUGGAUGUCGUAAGACAUGGUAGGAGAGCGUUCUGUAGGCCGUGGAAGGAGGACUGAAAGGAACUCUGGAGGUAUCAGAAGUGAGAAUGCAGGAAUAAGUAGCGAGAAGGGGAGUGAGAAUCUCCCCCGCUGGAAGACCAAGGUUUUCAGGGUAAAGCUUGUCUUCCCUGA